AUGGAUAAAACACAAAGUUGAAAGCAUAACAGGUGGAGAAGAAUUUAGUUACAAUAUUGUUUCUCGUAUAGCCUUCCUCUCUUUUCUCUACAUUUGACCUACUUAAAUGCCCCUUUAUGUUUAAGAUUUUUCCGACAAAACUGAUGGGCUACCAUAGCAAUAUCAGUAUGAAUCGUUAUCACAUAAUUGAAACAAAACAAUCAACGAUAACAUAGAGGCCAUACUCAAAAAAAUUCUACAACCUGUUACCGAAAUUUCUAGUAAAAGCAUCUGCAUCUAAAACAAAAUCCUACAGCCUCCUAAUUGAAACAGAAACGAUAAGCGGAUUUCUUUAAUGUUCAAGGCUAUCAUUUAACCGUAACAUGAACGAACCCCCAAAAGAACACAAACACGGACCGAAAAAGCACAAAUAAGCAAGAACAUCAACCACACAUUAUCGAAAGCAAUUGAGAAAGGAAAAGUUAUGAACCAACCGACAAAGCUGAUGAACACUAUUCAGGACAAGCUUGUUAACAAUCCAUCCACUCCUCUUCGCACUUGAAUUUGGCUUGUGCUUGUCCUACUUCUGCCUCAAAUCCCAAUCGUAAACCUCCGCGACAUUGGUGUCUUCACGGAGUCACGGCGUACGGUUGAACGAAAGCAUUUUGGUGGUUAUUCAUGUUAGAUCGGAGGUGUAGCGUUGAAGGGUCGACGUCGUCGGCAUCGGUGUGGGGGACGAUCGAAGGAGGAGAUUUGUGAAGUUGAUGGAGGUUCGUGUGUAGUCGCGGAGUUUGGUUUUGAGGGUUUCGCGGCGGCGGUUCGGUGAAGGUUAAGGAAGA
rnacentral:lncRNA from 1 species